UGCGUAGGCGGCUUUUUAAGUUUGGUGUGAAAUCUCCCGGCUCAACCGGGAGGGUGCGCCGAAUACUGAGAGGCUAGAGUGCGGGAGAGGAAAGUGGAAUUCCUGGUGUAGCGGUGAAAUGCGUAGAUAUCAGGAGGAACACCGGUGGUGUAAACGGCUUUCUGGACCGUAACUGACGCUGAUGCACGAAAGCGUGGGUAGCAAACAGGAUUAGAUACCCUGGUAGUCCACGCCCUAAACGAUGCAUAUUUGGUGUGGGCCAUUCAUUUGGUCUGUGCCGGAGCUAACGCGUUAAAUAUGCCGCCUGGGGAGUACAGUCGCAAGGCUGAA
rnacentral:rRNA from 1 species